rnacentral:rRNA from 1 species
AACGAACGCUGGCGGCAUGCCUAACACAUGCAAGUCGAACGAGACCUUCGGGUCUAGUGGCGCACGGGUGCGUAACGCGUGGGAACCUGCACUUAGGUUCGGAAUAACUCCCCGAAAGGGGUGCUAAUACCGGAUAAUGUCUUCGGACCAAAGAUUUAUCGCCUUUGGAUGGGCCCGCGUUGGAUUAGCUAGUUGGUAGGGUAAAAGCCUACCAAGGCGACGAUCCAUAGCUGGUCUGAGAGGAUGAUCAGCCACACUGGGACUGAGACACGGCCCAGACUCCUACGGGAGGCAGCAGUGGGGAAUAUUGGACGAUGGGCGAAGGCCUGAUCCAGCAAUGCCGCGUGAGUGAUGAAGGCCUUAGGGUUGUAAAGCUCUUUUACCCGGGAUGAUAAUGACAGUACCGGGAGAAUAAGCUCCGGCUAACUCCGUG